rnacentral:rRNA from 1 species
GACGUAGGGCGCGAGCGUUGUCCGGAUUUAUUGGGCGUAAAGAGCUCGUAGGCGGCUUGUCGCGUCGUCCGUGAAAACCUGCGGCUCAACUGCAGGCUGGCGGUCGAUACGGGCAGGCUGGAGUUCGGUAGGGGAGACUGGAAUUCCUGGUGUAGCGGUGAAAUGCGCAGAUAUCAGGAGGAACACCGGUGGCGAAGGCGG